GUUAGUAUUAAUAUGACACCCUAACCUUUCAAGGGGUCACCCAUUGUAGAACUACUCUUGUCCUAGCACGUUUAACUCUCUUAACUUCUUGAGCCUAACUACCACCGAAAAUAUUUAAGUCGGGUUAAAAAUUUAGUCUUAUUAUAUUUUAUAUAUAGAACUAUUUGGGGUCUCACAAUCUCCCUUUCUUUAAGUCCUGACAUUCUCGUCAGGCUUAGACUCACAAAUACCAAGCGAUAUAAGACUCGUCUCACUAGCCUUGUCAUUCCGAUCCUAACUCAGUCGAGACUCAUCUCACAUUUUCAGUUGGUAAUUGGCUCUGAUACCAACUGUGACACCCUAACUUUUCAAAGAGUCACCCAUCCUAGAACUACUUUCGUCCUAGUACGCUUAACUCUCUUAACCUCAUGGGCCUAGCCACCACCCAAAACACUUAAGCCGGGUUAAGAGUUUAGCCCUAUUAUAUUUUAUACAUAAGAUUGUCUGGGGUCUCAUAAUUAAUAUUUUAUUUAAAUUUAAAUUAAGCUAGCUUGAGAGCUAGCUCAAAUUAGUUUCAAGCUGAAAACGAGCCGGAUCAUUUCAGGUCGUUUAAAUUUCGAGAGGAACUCGAGCCGGCUCGAGUUACUUCUGAGCCAAUCUCGAGCUACCCCAGCUUGCUCAUAUAUAUUUGGCUCAUCAACAAUCCUACCUCAACAUACACCACAAAAAGAAAACACAAAUGAUCGAGUAAAAUCCAAUCACAUCUUUAUAUAUUGACAAACAAAUUAAGAGCAAUGCUAUUCAUACACCUGAAGAUUAGGUAUUAUGUGGCUUAUAUUUUUCUACUUGUUUUAUCAAAAAAAAAAAAAAAACCUAAAAUCGAAGGGUCUUUGUGAAACCCUUAAAUCCCGAGUGCAAGAUUUACCCUCACUAUAAGGGGUGUACGGAUAGCAUUUUCCAUUAAUUAAACACGCGCUAGGUUUUUUUUUUUUUUGAGAAAAAAAAUAUUAAAUCCUAUUUAUCAGUGUAUUAGUGCUCUUAUUAAUCACGAAUUAAUAGCCUACAGCUACACGAAACCCUGCUUCUGCAAAAAGCUCAUCCAAAGGCCACAUUAAUUUGUGUUGUAGUUUCGCAAAAUAGUUAUGUAUUUGUUGCAAGUGAUGUGCUCAGUAUCUUCAUCCUAAAGACUCAUUCAUGCAAAAGAUUCUGCCAAGGUUAGUCCAUCAAAUUAUAUACGAGUCCAAUUAAGUAACAAUUUGGGGGUGCAGGUACAGCAAGUAGAUCCAAGUUGAUAAUAAUAAAACAAAUAUUUCGCCCUAGAAUCAACUGUUUUAAAUAGAACCUUUCGUUUUCAGAUACCAAAAAAAUUAUUUUAAUUUGGCUGAUCAGUAAUAAAAGCUUCUUUGUAAGUACUUAUAAUUAAGUUUGUUCUAAAAGAGUACGGCAAAUAAUUUGAUAAAUUAGAACAUAGUUUAACUAUGUUCUAUAAUAUGCAGUCCAAAGAAAACAAUCAAUGAUGAUUUAAAGCAGAAGAUAUAAAGAAAAUACAUGCUUUAUAUAAUAUGAACAUAAGAAAAUGGCUGGAUAAUUUUAAAAAAAUAAUCAAAGGAAAAAAAAAAAAAAAAAAGAAUAAAGAAAAAUAAAGAGUUGAUAAUUAGUUGGAGGAGAGAAUCUUAAAUUAACAUUCAUUGAUAGUUAAAUAAAGUUGUUCUUUUUUAUGUAAAAAAAAUUAGAAUUUAUGUUAUCACGACUGAUUUCUAAUCUAAAUUAGAGAUAGAAUAUAUACUAAAGUUAUUUGAUUCAAAUAAAUUCAUUUGACUAAAAACAUACUUUUAUCUUGUUUAGUAUAUAUAUAAAUAUAAACUUAUUUACUUUAGUUUAAUUUCUAUUUAGAGUCAAAAUAAGAUCACAUCAAGUAUAAUCUAGUUUUAUCUAGUCUAAUUUAAAUAAAAUACUAAUAUAUUUUUAUAUUAUAGGUUCAAAGUUGAACUGAUUAUAAAUUUUAAUUUUUUAAAGAAAUUUUUUGGAAGGGUAAUGAUAUAGUUUCACAAAAUUUUCAAAAGAAUUUUUUUUAAUAAUAAGUUAAUUUUAAGGGGAAAAAAUUCUAGAUUUUAACACUAUAAAAAAUUCAAAACCUAAUGAUUUGUAUAGAUAAUUUUAUAAAUAGAGCAGUGAAAAUAAAUUCCUGAUAUAUGAAUAUAAUAUUAUAUAUAUAAUAAUAUAUAUAUAUAAUUAUAAUUAAUCUUAUUCUCAACCUAUUUUUUCAUGUAAGAUAAUAAUUAUUUUUUAAAUUAUAAAUAAAAUAAAUUUCCCCUUCAAAAUAAAUUGUUAAAUCCAACAUUAAUUCGGCCUGUAUUCGCACAAGCCAGAAGCCUUUGCACUUCUUAUUUGUAUAUAUUUAUUACAAGAUUUCACUACAAACCGGAAAUUAGGUUAUGGGACACAUUUUUUUUGGAACACUUGUUGCAGUAAAAUAGUCCCUCCAAAAAUUUUAUAACAAAGACCUUAAAAAAAUAUAUCUACUAAAUGCCUUAAAUAUAAUAACCCAAGUCCCAAAAAGUCAAAAAUAUUAAAAGAAUUACUUCUACUCAACUCACCACACCAACUAAUCACCCCAGUCCCCGAAAUUUUGGUCCGAUUACAAACAAAAAAAAAAAGAAAAAAGAAAAAAUAUCAUAUACAAUAAUUAGUUUCUUCUCUCUUCACUCCAAUCUCACUGAAAUUCUAAUGACGAAAGAGCUCUUUCCUGUACCGUUCCUCUAGUCGCCACUCCGCCACCCCUGUCCGUGCUUCAGCGCCAACUGCCCAAACAGAAGAAUAGAGUUUCGGCGGUAUUGCCUUAAACUGCUUUUAAAUAAGUGUGUGGCGUAAUAAGCAGCACUCUUUUAGGUUUAUAAAAAUAGGACCACUCUUUAACUAAUCCCACUAUAGUACUAAGCGACCCCAACUAAAGAUAUAGCGAACCACUUUUUUUUUGCAAAGUGUCCCGGGUAAUUUUAGCUAGCAAGCACUUUUUGACAAUGUAACCUACCAAAAUUUAAAAAGUGUCUCCGGCUAUACAUUGACCAUUUUUGUUCUAAGUUUUGAAUUAACUUAGAAUUUUGAUUUUAUGAUUAUAUCUUGUUAUUUAACUAUACAUAUGUGGAAUAAUUAAGAGUAAUUAAUUUAGAACACCCAAAAAUAACAGUAGAAAAUUUUUUGGAGAAAAAACCAAAAUAAGGUUAGAGAUCAACCGUAGAGAAAAAACCCAAAUGGAGUGGAACCUUUAACCCGUGCACAUAUCCACCCCAAACUACAAACAAGACAAAACGGUCUCUUCUAGCGGACCACUUUUUUUAAAUUGUAAGGGUAACUGGUCAGCAAAAAUACUGGCCUAGGUUAGAAAUAUACCGACAUUUUUAAAUAAGUUGUUGCAUAAUUAUGGGUCGGCUUAGGUAUAAAAGUUACAGUUAAGGUUAUCCGCUAUAAACCUAAAAGAGUGCUGCUUAAAUGUUACCAAAACACUUAUUAACCAACUUUUUAGCAACCCGUCCGCAACUCUAUUUCUUGUUGGCUGCGGUGGCGGAAGAAGGACGACAGGAAAAGGCCUCCUCGUCCUAGAAGGUUUCGAGUGGAUUGAAAGUUGAAAAAGAGAAGAAAAGAUGUUAAAUGUUGAAAUUUUUUUUCUUUUUCUUUUCCCUGUUUUGUAAAUCGGGCCAAAAUAAACUGGGGUUUUUGUGUGGGUUCUGUGAGUAGAAGUAAUCUUUUAUUUUUUUGUUGGAAUUGGGCUUUAUAAUUUAGGCAUUAAUAAAGUAUUUUUUGUUUAAGUUUUAAGGAAUAAUAUGAGAUACUUAUUCAAAAAGUGUCCCCCAAAUAUUUGUUCCCCCUAUAAACCUAAUUUCUAUUAUAAGUGAAAACAGUUUUUAUAAGCGAUGUUAACGUACGACCUGAUUUUAUAGGAGCUGAGGUUUCCCAGUUACAAUGGAAUUAAAAACCAUAAUAAUUAAAAUAACCAAAUAAUAAUUCGAAUUUUGUUAAAUUGUAGGUAAUAUUUAAAUAAUUAUUAAUGGAGUAAACAUAAAGGACAAAUGACCCCCUUUUCGUAGGCCCGCCCUUUGGCCUCUAGCUAGUGAGUGGGCGUCCAAACGAAGCCCCCAACUCUAACUGUUACGAAUUUCUUUCUCUUCCCCCUCUUUUUUGAAUUAUUGGGAUACGGAAUAUAUAUUAUAUAUAUAUUGACAAUUAUAUCAAAUAUAUUAUAAUUAUAUAGAAGAUAUAUGUUUAUAAAAUAUAAAAGUGAAAUCCAAAAACUAGUUUUUUUCUCGUGCGUCCCCCUUAUUUAAAACUGUUUGAGAAGAUUACAUCACCGAAGGCAUUUUAAAAGAGGGUUUAAAUAUAACAAUGCCUCUUUUUGGUUGUCCCUUUUAUUAUAAUAUAUUUCUUGAGAACUCCUUUCUAUAAUUAUGAACUAAGCUUUUGGAACAUUACUAAUCCAAUAGUACCAUUAAUUAGUUGGCUAUUCUAAGUUUGUUUUAGUUAUUGGAUUGGACAAUGUGCGGUUUGUUAAUAUAUGAUUCCCUUUAGAAUUGAGAUCAAGGGAGUGGUUUUGUUAAAGUAGUAAUUAUAAACGGAUAAAAAUUAAUUAAAGGUUAAAUCUAAACGUGGAAAAACAUCCGAUAGUCACCGAAGUCGCUUGAUGCUAUUGAUAACCGUCAUUACAGCUGAAAACUUCCUUUUAUGAUAUAUCUUCUUUUUUUUUUUUUUUGUGAGAAUGCUUUUGAAGAUGCCCUAAUAUAUUUUGGCUUUCCUUUAGGGUUAAAUCGACUCAUUUUAUUAGAGAAAUAUUUUUAUAUAUAUAUAUAUAUAUAUAUAUAUUUUAUAUAUAUUAGUAUAAUAUAUAUAAUUUGAGAGAGGAGUAUUGUUUUCAAAAUUGAAACACGCAUAUUGACCCACGUGGCCCGUAAUUAAUAAAAAAAAAAAAUUUCCCAAUAUGUUGCCGACGGUGGGCCCAAAUAUAUAAUAUAUAUUAUAAUAUACAGAAGAGGAGAGAGAGAGAGAGGAGGAGAGUAGAAGAUCAAUAACCAACCUUAAUGUUUUAAAUUAAUUUAUUAUACAUAUAUCAAAUUAUUUUGAAGUAAUUAAGAGAAAGUUUCAUAUUAAAAACAAAUUAAUAUAUACUUAUUUUAAUUAAAAAUAUUAUAAUAAAAUAUUAAAUAUUAGAAGAAAAAUUAAAUCUAAAUAACUUAUACAGUAACCAAAUUUAAUUUUGAUAAUUGUAAAAUUUGGUAUUCCUUUUUUUUAAUAUUUUUUUAAUUAUAUAAUAAGCCUUUUGCCUUUUUACUUAUUUUUAAAAUAUUAAAAAUUAUAUAAUAGAGUAAUUAUUUUUUUUUUUUCCUAUUUAAUGCACAAUAGUUAUUUUUUUUCUUAACUGCACAACAGUUAUUUUUUUUCCUUAACUGAACAACAGUUAUUUUUUUUUUCCCCUUCUUUCUUUGAUUAAGGUCUAUUCAACUUUUAUAGUUCUCUCUCUCUAUUUCUCUUUGGGGUUUAGGUUUCUAACGAUCUCUCGGGCUUUUUACUUUUACCCAUUGCAGGAUGAUGCGAGCGGGGCACGUCAUAGGAAAGAGGCGGAGGCGGCGUGAAAAUCGCAAAUAUUUGUUUUAAUUUUAUUUAAUUUUUUGGAUUAUAUAUAUAUAUACACAACUAUUUUAAUUAAAUUAUUAUACAAAUAUUUAAAUAAUUAGAAGAAAUCAUAACCAUACAUACCAAAUUAUUUUGAUAUUGUAAAAUUUGGUCUUCUUUUUUAUAUAUAUUUUAUAUAUAUAAUAGCUUUACUUAUUUUUAAAUAUUAAAAUAAUAAAAGUAAUAAUUNNNNNNNNNNNNNNNNNNNNNNNNNNNNNNNNNNNNNNNNNNNNNNNNNNNNNNNNNNNNNNNNNNNNNNNNNNNNNNNNNNNNNNNNNNNNNNNNNNNNNNNNNNNNNNNNNNNNNNNNNNNNNNNNNNNNNNNNNNNNNNNNNNNNNNNNNCGCUAGGUAUUUCUAUGCCAGUUAGAUAAAUUCAGCUAGAUAUUUCUAUAAAAUCUAGAAUCUUGAAUAUAUCACGUGGGCCACAUCCAACAAUAUGUAGCAAAUUUAUUUUUUUUUUAGUUUUAAUUUUUUUUUGUUAGCAUGGCUUUUAAAUUUUAAUAGUAAUUAAUAAUACUAAAAGCAAAAGUAAGCUCAAUAUAUAAUGAAAAUAAUAAUAAUUAUAGUUAGUAUUAAUAUGACACCCUAACCUUUCAAGGGGUCACCCAUUGUAGAACUACUCUUGUCCUAGCACGUUUAACUCUCUUAACUUCUUGAGCCUAACUACCACCGAAAAUAUUUAAGUCGGGUUAAAAAUUUAGUCUUAUUAUAUUUUAUAUAUAGAACUAUUUGGGGUCUCACAAUCUCCCUUUCUUUAAGUCCUGACAUUCUCGUCAGGCUUAGACUCACAAAUACCAAGCGAUAUAAGACUCGUCUCACUAGCCUUGUCAUUCCGAUCCUAACUCAGUCGAGACUCAUCUCACAUUUUCAGUUGGUAAUUGGCUCUGAUACCAACUGUGACACCCUAACUUUUCAAAGAGUCACCCAUCCUAGAACUACUUUCGUCCUAGUACGCUUAACUCUCUUAACCUCAUGGGCCUAGCCACCACCCAAAACACUUAAGCCGGGUUAAGAGUUUAGCCCUAUUAUAUUUUAUACAUAAGAUUGUCUGGGGUCUCAUAAUUAAUAUUUUAUUUAAAUUUAA
rnacentral:lncRNA from 1 species